rnacentral:rRNA from 1 species
GACGAACCGUGCGAACGUUAUUCGGAAUCACUGGGCUUAAAGGGCGCGUAGGCGGGUCCGGCAGUCAGGGGUGAAAUCCCACGGCCCAACCGUGGAAGUGCCUCUGAUACUUCGGACCUCGAGGGAGGUAGGGGCGUGCGGAACUCAGGGUGGAGCGGUGAAAUGCGUAGAUAUCCUGAGGAACACCGGUGGCGAAAGCGGCGCGCUGGAUCUCUUCUGACGCUGAGGCGCGAAAGCCAGGGGAGCAAACGGG